CAGCAGCCACGGUAAUACAGAGGGUGCAAGCGUUAAUCGGAAUUACUGGGCGUAAAGCGCGCGUAGGUGGUUUGUUAAGUUGGAUGUGAAAGCCCCGGGCUCAACCUGGGAACUGCAUCCAAAACUGGCAAGCUAGAGUACGGUAGAGGGUGGUGGAAUUUCCUGUGUAGCGGUGAAAUGCGUAGAUAUAGGAAGGAACACCAGUGGCGAAGGCGACCACCUGGACUGAUACUGACACUGAGGUGCGAAAGCGUGGGGAGCAAACAGGAUUAGAUACCCGUGUAGUCCCUGUCUCUUACAC
rnacentral:rRNA from 1 species